UAUUUGAUUUUCUUCGGAAAUGAAGAUUUUGUGACUGAGUGGCGGACGGGUGAGUAACGCGUGGGUAACCUGCCUCAUACAGGGGGAUAACAGUUGGAAACGACUGCUAAUACCGCAUAAGCGCACAGGAUUGCAUGAUCCGGUGUGAAAAACUCCGGUGGUAUGAGAUGGACCCGCGUCUGAUUAGCCAGUUGGCAGGGUAACGGCCUACCAAAGCGACGAUCAGUAGCCGACCUGAGAGGGUGACCGGCCACAUUGGGACUGAGACACGGCCCAAACUCCUACGGGAGGCAGCAGUGGGGAAUAUUGCACAAUGGGGGAAACCCUGAUGCAGCGACGCCGCGUGAGCGAAGAAGUAUUUCGGUAUGUAAAGCUCUAUCAGCAGGGAAGAAGAAUGACGGUACCUGACUAAGAAGCACCGGCUAAAUACGUGCCAGCAGCCGCGGUAAUACGUAUGGUGCAAGCGUUAUCCGGAUUUACUGGGUGUAAAGGGAGCGCAGGCGGUGCGGCAAGUCUGAUGUGAAAGCCCGGGGCUCAACCCCGGUACUGCAUUGGAAACUGUCGUACUAGAGUGUCGGAGGGGUAAGUGGAAUUCCUAGUGUAGCGGUGAAAUGCGUAGAUAUUAGGAGGAACACCAGUGGCGAAGGCGGCU
rnacentral:rRNA from 1 species